AGAGAAAGUUUGUUCUGGUUUCUUAUCACAAAUCUACCACCUGAAAAGCAGAGGGACACCACUAAUAUCAUUGGGUUUUGACAACCUGAGCUGGCUCAGUUAGCUUCCAGUUACCUCCCUUUUCUGGUUUGCAAAGCUCCUGCCUGUAUGUGCGGUUGGUACCAUAGGGUGGAUGUGUGGGUUGACCUGGGUGAGAUUGUGACCUGGUUUGAAGCCUACUGGCUUUCCAUUGUUCCUUGAACCUGGAUAGCAG
rnacentral:lncRNA from 10 species